rnacentral:rRNA from 1 species
GAUGAACGCUGGCGGCGUGCCUAAUACAUGCAAGUCGAGCGAACAGACGAGGAGCUUGCUCCUCUGACGUUAGCGGCGGACGGGUGAGUAACACGUGGAUAACCUACCUAUAAGACUGGGAUAACUUCGGGAUACCGGAGCUAAUACCGGAUAAUAUAUUGAACCGCAUGGUUCAAUAGUGAAAGACGGUUUUGCUGUCACUUAUAGAUGGAUCCGCGCCGCAUUAGCUAGUUGGUAAGGUAACGGCUUACCAAGGCGACGAUGCGUAGCCGACCUGAGAGGGUGAUAGGCCACACUGGAACUGAGACACGGUCCAGACUCCUACGGGAGGCAGCAGUAGGGAAUCUUCCGCAAUGGGCGAAAGCCUGACGGAGCAACGCCGCGUGAGUGAUGAAGGUCUUCGGAUCGUAAAACUCUGUUAUUAGGGAAGAACAAAUGUGUAAGUAACUAUGCACGUCUUGACGGUACCUAAUCAGAAAGCCACGGCUAACUACGUG